GUGGCUCACGCCUGUAAUCCCAGCACUUUGGGAGGCUGAGGCAGGUGGAUCACCUGAGGUUAGGAGUUCGAGGCCAGCCUGGUCAACAUGGUAAAACCCCGCCUCUACUAAAAAUACAAAAAUUAGCUGGCCGUAGUGGCGCACGCCUGUUAUCCCAGCUACUCGGGAGGCUGAGGCAGGAGAAUUGCUUGAACCUGGGUGGUGGAGGUUGCAGUGAGCCGAGAUUACACCACUGCACUCCAGCCUGGGUGACAAGAGGGAAACUCCAUUAAAAAAAUGUAAUUCCCGUGUCUGCCAUCUUAAGUGUAAAGGUGGCUAAAUUAUAUAGAAAAAUAAGACAAUAUCAUUUCCCAAUUACAUUCCUUUCCUACCGCACUCUAUGAUGCUAGCUGAGAUUUUUCCAAAAGAAAAUGGCUUAAAUAAAACCCUAAGAGAAAGAAAAACUUUAAAUCCCUCCAAAGCUCAAAAGUAAUAGAAACAGAUGAGUUUGGAGUCAGGAUUUCUCUGUAAGAUUGCCUAGGCUGUGUACUGCACAUCUCCAGGUGCCACUGUUGACAGAGAUUAUAACUACAAUGUGAAGUGAAUGGUGCCACUGACAGUUAUGCAAACCGUCCAGAGCAUAGCCACCUGAUCCUGCUGGGAUUCCUCUUGCCAGUCCAUCAGCAGUUCCCCUUGAAAGUUUCACCAAACAUCCCUUAAAUCUGCCCUCUCCUGCCCGUCCCCAGUGGAGGUCCUCAUCAUUUUUCACCUGCAUUUUUGCAGGAGCUUUCUUAUAUCCACCUUCCUCCUUUUCUCUCAGCCCAUCAUCUAGCUACACAGUCUCCAGGGUAAGCUUUCAGAAAGGCAAUCUCUUGUCUGUAAAACCUAAGCAGGACCAAGGCCAAGUUUCUUAGCCUGAAAAAUGUGCUUUUCUGACUGAACUGUUCAGGCACUGACUCUACAUAUAAUUAUGCUUUUCUACCCCCUCACACUCAACACUUUGACUCCAGCAAUCCCAAAUCCCCAGAUCCCUAAGUGUGCUGUGCUAUUUUCACGUGGCUCUCAGACUUGGCCAGUGCUGUUUCCAUUUUGGUCUUUAUUCCCCACAUCUCUGCCUGGGGGGUAGAUUCUACCCUGAAAAAUGUUCUUGGCACAGCCUUGCAAACUCCUCCUCCACUCAGCCUCUGCCUGGAUGCCCUUGAUUGUUCCAUGUCCUCAGCAUACCAUGUUUGUCUUUCCCAGCACUGACCUACCAUGUGUCACCCCUGCUUGGCUGUACCUUCCAUGAGGCUAGGACUAUGUGUCUCCUUUGUUGACUGCUGUUGCCCUAGCAUCUUGCACAGUUCCUUGCACACAAUUAGAGCUCUAUAAAUGUCAAAUAAAUGUGUUAUAAUUAUAUGUUUAAGAUAGUUGUUCAAAUAAACUCUAAAUAACCCCAACUCCAAGAGUGUUAGCAAGAAAUAUAAAUUUUACAGAAGAAUGGUUGGAGGUGGGGAGGGUGUCCACGGAGUGAGUUACCUCACACAGGCACGGAAAAACUUGAACCUCCUAAGGACAUUUUUAAGCUCUCUUUCCCAUUUUCUCUCCUGGAUUCCCAUUGCCUGGUCUCAUUUCUCUCUUCUCCACCACACCACUUCCUCAAAAAUUCCUUUAGGGUUUGUUCUUAAGCUUAGAUAGGUUUCCCAUUCUGAAAUACAAAGGCCUGAUAAUUAGCCAACUUACCUUGUUGGGGAUGUGGAAGGCAAGACUCUCAGACUCCAUGACUCAGGUAUAUUGCAACAAUUAGGCUGAAAGUUCCUUGAGAGUAAGUGUCCAAAUCUUUUCAUGUUUGGUUCCCAGGGCUCACUACAGUUGUUGGUAUAUCAUAGGCACUCUAAUAUCUUCUUAAAGAAUCAAUAUCAUUAAAAUGGCCAUAACUGCCCAUAGCAAUUUACAGAUUCAAUGCUAUUUCUAUCAAACUAUCAAGGUCAUUUUUGUUUUAUUUUUUUUCUUUGAGAUAGAAUCUCGCUAUUGUCACCCAGGCUGGAGUGCAGUGGCGCGAUCUCGACUCACUGCAACCUCCGCCUCCCGGGUUCAAGUAAUUCUCCUGCCUCAGCCU
rnacentral:lncRNA from 1 species